GGGAUGGUAGCAUUUGGGGGACAUUUUGGUCCUCAUGUCUAGCAUACAAAUUUGCAAAUGUUCUGGCUAACCAAGGUAACAUUUUGGACUUGCUUGGUUCUCUAAUGACCAGGCAGUGUCUGUUAACCUAAAUAACAAAUAGAGAGAGCAGGGUCUUGCCUGAAGUCUCAAUGCUAGGGAAAGCUUUUAAAGGCAGUGGAGAAAGACUGAACGAUUGGUUCUGAGUAAUUGUCCUUAACUAUUGGGACCAAGAACAAGGCUGGGGCCAGACAGGCAGUUCCUAGACAGAUGUCCUUGAAGACUUUGCUUUGCUUAAAUAGUUCCACCCCUUCCCAUUUCACCCAUUGGCUGUUGUAGUAACAUGAAGAGGUGGGUACUGCAAAGUUGUGGAACCCAAUGGAACCAUGGCUGGUAGAAGUGUUCAUAGUGGCCUUAGAGAAGCCCAUCCAAGAGAAUUGUGCAAAAAAGUGAAGCUAUGUUUCUGAAACUUCUUGACAAAGCAGAGGCUUAUGCCUGGAUUGAUGCAAUCAUUAGGAAGAAAGGUGGGCUCAGCUAUGGAAGGGAAAUGGAGGCAAAAGGACGACACAUUUCUGGUCAGUAUGAGCUACAUAUGGAGAUCAUUUCAGAAACCAGAAAAGGCAAAUCUGCUGGUGGGAGGGCACGCCAUGCAGUGAAGAGGAGACUAGACUAUGCUGCAUAGCAAAACCCUGUCUCAAACAACAACAGCAGCAACAGCCAGCUACCUCCAAUAAAAAGAAAAAAAAGUAAAUAAA
rnacentral:lncRNA from 1 species